AGCAGUAGCCGCGGGAAUACGGAGGGUGCAAGCGUUAAUCGGAAUUACUGGGCGUAAAGCGUGCGUAGGCGGUUCGUUAAGUCUGUUGUGAAAGCCCCGGGCUCAACCUGGGAAUGGCAAUGGAUACUGGCGAGCUAGAGUGUGUCAGAGGAUGGUGGAAUUCCCGGUGUAGCAGUGAAAUGCGUAGAGAUCGGAAGGAACAUCUGUGGCGAAGGCGACUAUCUGGGCCAACACUGACACUGAGGCACGAAAGCGUGGGGAGCAAACAGGAUUAGAGACCCCUGUAGUCCCUGUCUCUUAUAC
rnacentral:rRNA from 1 species